rnacentral:lncRNA from 1 species
GGUUAUGUAGCCGACCGUCCCUAAUGCAAGUAAUAAAAAUCUUGAUAAUUAGUGUUCGACACUACAACAAAAACGGUCUAUAGCGACACUUUUAAAUAUAGGUACAUAUCAAAAAAGUGCUGCUAGAUAAAAUUAUCGACACUUUUAAAAAAUGUUGCUAUAUGUGGGAUCGUUAGGUAUACAGUGACAGUUAAAGAGUGUCGUUAUAACCUAAAAGAGUGCUGCUAAUUUACCAACACUUAUUUAAGUAUUUAGCAACCGCUGAAACUCUAUCUCGUUGGCUGCGGUGGCGGAGGAGGACGACAGUAAAAGCUCUUCGUCUAGAAUUUCAGUAAAUUGAGUGAAGAGAGAAGAAAAGAUAGUAAUUGAUUUUUCUUUUUUUUUUUCUUUUCUAUUUGUAAUCGGGCCAAAUGGGCUGGGUGUGAUGGGUUGAGUAGAGUAAUUUUUUAUUUUUGGUUGGAUUGGGCUUUAUAUUUAGGCAUUAGUAGAUGUGUUUUUAAGUUUUAGUAUAAAUGGGACACUUAAAAAUGUCCCACACUUACUCAAAAGUGUCCCAAACAUGUGUCCCUAUAACCUAAUUCUAUUGUAGUGCGAAAUUCCAAAUUCUAAAUCUAGUUGUGCUAGAUUUCUAGCUAAGGGAGCAAACAAAUCGAAAAAUUAUUAUUGGUAUGAAAAUAUUUUUUCGCUUGUUCGAUUCGAUGUAAAAAUAUUUCCAUGUAAACGUAUUUUUAUGGAUUUUAAAAAAAAAAUUAUGUUUU